rnacentral:lncRNA from 1 species
CGGGAGGCUGUGAGUUAGUGGUGGUGUUGUUGGAUUUCGCCUCCUGUGGACCUGGAGAGCUCGGUGUCCGCUGUGGUCAGACGGUGGAGCUGGUGGAGCGCUCGGCCGAACGGCCCGGGUGGUGUCUGGUCAGAACAACGGAUCAAACGCCCCAGCAGGAGGGUCUCCUGCCGAUGAGCGCCCUCUGUCUGUCCCACUCCCACAGUGCAGCCGACAUGGAGGGGCUCAUCCCGGCUUCUACCUCCUCCUCCGGCACCUCUUCCACGAGCACCACCACCUCCUCCUCCUUCAACUCCUCCUCCACCACCACCACCACCUCCUCCUCUAACGCUUCCAACUCCUCCUCCAAUGCUGGGAGAGACCCCGGCGUGUUCGGCUCCGACGGGCUUCAGACAUCCAGCCAAAGUGAGACCACUCCCCCGUUACUCACAUUUACCGACCGCGCUGACAGACAGUGAACUCACCGCCUCCUUUUGUCUCUCAGGUACCGCCUUCCCCGGAGUACCAUACGGAGUGGGCGGGGCCUCGGCGGGCGCCGUUGGCUCCCCGGGGCCGAAGCGCAGCGGCUCCGGGACCGGAAACACCCUGAAG